UACGUGGGUGGCAAGCGUUAUCCGGAAUUACUGGGCGUAAAGCGUUGCGCAGGUGGGAAGCCGCGUUGCACUUCAAAGUUUGAGGCUCAACCUCACAUCUGGGUGCAAUACGGGUUUUCUAGAGAUUGGUAGGGGCAAGCGGAACUUUCGGUGGAGCAGUGAAAUGCGUUGAUAUCGAAAGGAACACCAAAGGCGAAGGCAGCUUGCUGGGCCAUAUCUGACACUUAGGCACGAAAGCGUAGGUAGCGAACCGG
rnacentral:rRNA from 1 species